UACGUAGGGUGCAAGCGUUGUCCGGAAUUAUUGGGCGUAAAGAGCGUGUAGGCGGCCCGAUUAGUCCGCUGUGAAAGUCCAGGGCUCAACCCUGGAAUGCCGGUGGAAACUGUCGGGCUAGAGUCCGGAAGGGGCGAGUGGAAUUCCUGGUGUAGCGGUGAAAUGCGCAGAUAUCAGGAGGAACACCAAUGGCGAAGGCAGCUCGCUGGGACGUGGCUGACGCUGAGACGCGAAAGCGUGGGGAGCAAACAGG
rnacentral:rRNA from 1 species